rnacentral:rRNA from 1 species
GUGGGGAAUAUUGCACAAUGGGCGCAAGCCUGAUGCAGCAACGCCGCGUGAGGGACGACGGCCUUCGGGUUGUAAACCUCUUUUAGCAGGGAAGAAGCGAAAGUGACGGUACCUGCAGAAGAAGCGCCGGCUAACUACGUGCCAGCAGCCGCGGUAAUACGUAGGGCGCAAGCGUUGUCCGGAAUUAUUGGGCGUAAAGAGCUCGUAGGUGGUUUGUCGCGUCUGGUGUGAAAACUCACGGCUCAACCGUGAGCUUGCAUCGGGUACGGGCAGGCUAGAGUGCGGUAGGGGAGACUGGAAUUCCUGGUGUAGCGGUGGAAUGCGCAGAUAUCAGGAGGAACACCGAUGGCGAAGGCAGGUCUCUGGGCCGCAACUGACGCUGAGGAGCGAAAGCAUGGGGAGCGAACAGGAUUAGAUACCCUGGUAGUCC